rnacentral:rRNA from 1 species
AGAGUUUGAUCAUGGCUCAGAUUGAACGCUGGCGGCAGGCCUUACACAUGCAAGUCGAGCGGAUGAGGGGUGCUUGCACCCCGAUUCGGCGGCGGACGGGUGAGUAAUGCCUAGGAAUCUGCCCGAUAGUGGGGGACAACGUUUCGAAAGGAACGCUAAUACCGCAUACGUCCUACGGGAGAAAGUGGGGGCUCUUCGGACCUCACGCUAUCGGAUGAGCCUAGGUCGGAUUAGCUAGUUGGUGGGGUAAAGGCCCACCAAGGUGACGAUCCGUAACUGGUCUGAGAGGAUGAUCAGUCACACUGGAACUGAGACACGGUCCAGACUCCUACGGGAGGCAGCAGUGGGGAAUAUUGGACAAUGGGCGAAAGCCUGAUCCAGCCAUGCCGCGUGUGUGAAGAAGGUCUUCGGAUUGUAAAGCACUUUAAGUCGGGAGGAAGGGCUGUAGGUUAAUACCCUGCGGUUUUGACGUUACCGACAGAAUAAGCACCGGCUAACUUCGUGCCAGCAGCCGCGGUAAUACGAAGGGUGCAAGCGUUAAUCGGAAUUACUGGGCGUAAAGCGCGCGUAGGUGGUUUGGUAAGUUGGAUGUGAAAGCCCCGGGCUCAACCUGGGAACUGCAUCCAAAACUGCCUGACUAGAGUACGGUAGAGGGUGGUGGAAUUUCCUGUGUAGCGGUGAAAUGCGUAGAUAUAGGAAGGAACACCAGUGGCGAAGGCGACCACCUGGACUGAUACUGACACUGAGGUGCGAAAGCGUGGGGAGCAAACAGGAUUAGAUACCCUGGUAGUCCACGCCAUAAACGAUGUCGACUAGCCGUUGGGCUCCUUGAGAGCUUAGUGGCGCAGCUAACGCAUUAAGUCGACCGCCUGGGGAGUACGGCCGCAAGGUUAAAACUCAAAGGAAUUGACGG